GACGAACGCUGGCGGCGUGCUUAACACAUGCAAGUCGAACGAUGAAGCUCUAGCUUGCUGGGGUGGAUUAGUGGCGAACGGGUGAGUAACACGUGAGUAACCUGCCCUUUACUUCGGGAUAAGCUUGGGAAACUGGGUCUAAUACCGGAUAUUCUGCGUGAUCGGAUGGUUGUGUAGGAAAGAUUUUUUGGUAAGGGAUGGGCUCGCGGCUUAUCAGUUUGUUGGUGGGGUGAUGGCCUACCAAGACGACGACGGGUAGCCGGCCUGAGAGGGCGACCGGCCACACUGGGACUGAGACACGGCCCAGACUCCUACGGGAGGCAGCAGUGGGGAAUAUUGCACAAUGGGGGAAACCCUGAUGCAGCGACGCCGCGUGGGGGAUGACGGCCUUCGGGUUGUAAACCUCUUUCAGUAGGGAAGAAGCGAAAGUGACGGUACCUGCAGAAGAAGUACCGGCUAACUACGUGCCAGCAGCCGCGGUAAUACGUAGGGUACUAGCGUUGUCCGGAAUUAUUGGGCGUAAAGAGCUCGUAGGUGGUUUGUCGCGUCUGCUGUGGAAACGUGCCGCUUAACGGUGCGCGUGCAGUGGGUACGGGCGGACUAGAGUGCAGUAGGGGAGUCUGGAAUUCCUGGUGUAGCGGUGAAAUGCGCAGAUAUCAGGAGGAACACCGGUGGCGAAGGCGGGACUCUGGGCUGUUACUGACGCUGAGGAGCGAAAGCAUGGGGAGCGAACAGGAUUAGAUACCCUGGUAGUCCAUGCCGUAAACGUUGGGCACUAGGUGUGGGGUCCAUUCCACGGAUUCUGCGCCGUAGCUAACGCAUUAAGUGCCCCGCCUGGGGAGUACGGCCGCAAGGCUAAAACUCAAAGGAAUUGACGGGGGCCCGCACAAGCGGCGGAGCAUGCGGAUUAAUUCGAUGCAACGCGAAGAACCUUACCAAGGCUUGACAUGCACUAGACCAUCGCAGAGAUGUGGUUUUCUUUUUGACUGGUGUACAGGUGGUGCAUGGUUGUCGUCAGCUCGUGUCGUGAGAUGUUGGGUUAAGUCCCGCAACGAGCGCAACCCUCGUUCUAUGUUGCCAGCACGUGAUGGUGGGAACUCAUGGAGACUGCCGGGGUCAACUCGGAGGAAGGUGGGGAUGACGUCAAAUCAUCAUGCCCUUUAUGUCUUGGGCUUCACGCAUGCUACAAUGGCCGGUACAGAGGGUGGUGAUACCGUGAGGUGGAGCGAAUCUCUUAAAGCCGGUCUCAGUUCGGAUCGUAGUCUGCAACUCGACUACGUGAAGUCGGAGUCGCUAGUAAUCGCAGAUCAGCAAUGCUGCGGUGAAUACGUUCCCGGGCCU
rnacentral:rRNA from 1 species